AGUGUCAGUCAAGAGGCAACACUAGGAGGCAAGGAAUCUGCAUUUCUUUCAGACCUUGGCAGAGAGCGCCCUGGGAAAUGCGGAUAUAGAAGGUCAGGAGAACAUCUCUCCUGGUUAUACAGCAUUCCAGGUGGGCUUUCAUGUGGUUGAGGAUAAUAUCAUUAGCACCAAAGGUGAAAAUCCGUGGAAGCUCAUCUUAUUUCAGCAGAAGAGUAGGAUGGGCCUUGUGGCACGAGUAAGCCAAACAAGGGAAAGGCAUUCACCAUCAAUUGACUCCUCAUCUGUUUUUAAGAGGGAAAUCUGAGUUUUCAAGGAAAGCCGAAUACAGUUGCCAAGUUGCCAGUCAAAGAAACAAUGUCAACACCUGCUCAUAGAGAUGGAAUUCCUAACCCGGAAUAUUGCCCUUGAAUUACAACGAGAAAAAGAGAACACUUCUUAUUCCUGUAGCACCUCUUCAAGUGAGAUGGCAGACCACCUCAGGAUGGAAAUGUAUUUCUUCAUCCCCCUCUCUACUUCCCUGUGACCUCCUGCAAAUAAGGGAGAGACAAAGAGAAGAGCAGAAGAACAGAAGAAUGGAGUGGCAAAGAGAAGAGAAGGAGUGACUGAACAUUGACAAGACUUUGGUUGGGGAUGGUCAGAGAGGAGAUUAGCUGCUAGACGGCCACACUGCGGAGAAAGAUCAUUUUCCCACUCCAUCCCCCUUCCAGCUCCCCAUCCAUCUCACCAAGAGCCAGCUCCACCACUCAAUAAAACCUUACAUUCAUCUUUCA
rnacentral:lncRNA from 10 species